UGGUGGGACCCACGACAAAUGGA
rnacentral:snRNA from 1 species